GAUGAACGCUAGCGAUAGGCCUAACACAUGCAAGUCGAGGGGCAUCACAUGAAGUAGCAAUACGGAUGGUGGCGACCGGCGCACGGGUGAGUAACACGUAUGCAACCUGCCUUCAACAAGGGGAUAACCCGUUGAAAGACGGACUAAUACCCUAUAACACAGGGGUCCCGCAUGGGAAUAUUUGUUAAAGGACAACCGGUUGAAGAUGGGCAUGCGUUCCAUUAGCUAGUUGGCGGGGUAAGGCCCACCAAGGCAACGAUGGAUAGGGGAACUGAGAGGUUUAUCCCCCACACUGGUACUGAGACACGGACCAGACUCCUACGGGAGGCAGCAGUGAGGAAUAUUGGUCAAUGGACGCAAGUCUGAACCAGCCACGUCGCGUGAAGGAAGACGGCCCUACGGGUUGUAAACUUCUUUUAUACGGGAAUAAAGUGCCCCACGCGUGGGGUUUUGCAUGUACCGUAUGAAUAAGGAUCGGCUAACUCCGUGCCAGCAGCCGCGGUAAGUACGCAGCGA
rnacentral:rRNA from 1 species